rnacentral:lncRNA from 10 species
GCGGGGGGCGCGCAGAGGGUCACCUUCCGCUCCCCGGCCCAGAGGCCCAGCGGGUGGACAAACGGCCCAGGCGUCCGCCCCGCCGCGAUCCAGCAGCCCACCUCGAGCGCCGCGGACCUGGCCGGGGAACUCAACUGUUAGGCAGAAGGGAGGAAUGUACUGUUGAUAUGGACAGACUCCAAGAAGGGGAGGGACUGCUGGGACUACUAGAACGAGAAUGCCUCUGCCCCUAUGGCUCAGCUCUGCAACUCUCUCUGCACAUUGGCUUCAUGCUGUUAGACCAGCUUCCUCCAUAUGUCUGGAAACAAGGCCACUGACAGCUCCCAACAUUUCAUCUUCUGCCUCAUCAUCAGACAGGCGAGUGCAGUGGCAUAAUCUCGGCUCACUGCAACCUUUGCCUCCUGGGUUCAAGCAAAAACUGGAAUGAUGCAGCUUCAGGCCAAGGAAUGCUGGCAGCCACCAGAAGCUGAAGGACACAAGGAAUGGAUUCUCAGAGCCUCGGCAGGAAAUGUGGCCCUGCCAACACCUUGAUUUCAGACUUCUCAACUCCAGUACUGGGAGGGAAUAAAUUUCUGUUGUUUUAAGCCUCCCAGUUUGUGAUAAUUUGCUACAGCAGCCACAGGAAGCAAAUAAGGAGGGCCUAUUUGGAGGAGGAUGCAAACCCAGCAGUGGGUGAUGAACUAUUCUUACUUACAGCUACCUUAUUCAUUACUAGUCUAGACUUAAGCAUUGACUUCAUCACUGAAAAGGCUGCAGCUGAGCCUAGAGUUUCAGGUUCCUGUGCUGCAUAUGGCUACAGUGAUUCUUAGGUCAGCUCCCUAGGAUGCAGUUGAGUCUCUCUCUAACUGAUGAGUCUCUUUAAAUAUACAGUUGGGGCUGGGUGCGGUGGCUCACACCUCUAAUCCUAGCACUUUUGGAGGUUGAGGAGGGAGGAUCACUGGAACCCAGGAGUUCAAGACCAGCCUUGCCAACAUAGUGAAACCCAUCUCUAC